rnacentral:rRNA from 1 species
AGACUGAUCCAGCCAUGCCGCGUGCAGGAUGACUGCCCUAUGGGUUGUAAACUGCUUUUAUACGGGAAGAAAAACACCUACGUGUAGGUGACUGACGGUACCGUAAGAAUAAGGACCGGCUAACUCCGUGCCAGCAGCCGCGGUAAUACGGAGGGUCCAAGCGUUAUCCGGAAUCAUUGGGUUUAAAGGGUCCGUAGGCGGGCUAUUAAGUCAGGGGUGAAAGUUUGCAGCUCAACUGUAAAAUUGCCUUUGAUACUGGUAGUCUUGAAUUGUAGUGAAGUGGUUAGAAUAUGUGGUGUAGCGGUGAAAUGCAUAGAUAUCACAUAGAAUACCGAUUGCGAAGGCAGAUCACUAACUAUAUAUUGACGCUGAGGGACGAAAGCGUGGGGAGCGAACGGGAUUAGAUACCCCGGUAGUCCACGCCGUAAACGAUGGAUACUAGCUGUUGGAUUUUUUCAGUGGCUAAGCGAAAGUGAUAAGUAUCCCACCUGGGGAGUACGUUCGCAAGAAUGAAACUCA